rnacentral:rRNA from 1 species
AUUGAACGCUGGCGGCAUGCUUUACACAUGCAAGUCGAACGGUAACAGGCCUUCGGGUGCUGACGAGUGGCGAACGGGUGAGUAAUGCAUCGGAACGUACCCAGAGGUGGGGGAUAACGCAGCGAAAGCUGUGCUAAUACCGCAUGUGAUCUGAGGAUGAAAGCGGGGGACCGAGCAGCAAUGUUUGGCCUCGCGCCUUUGGAGCGGCCGAUGUCGGAUUAGCUAGUUGGUGGGGUAAAGGCCUACCAAGGCGACGAUCCGUAGCUGGUCUGAGAGGACGACCAGCCACACUGGGACUGAGACACGGCCCAGACUCCUACGGGAGGCAGCAGUGGGGAAUUUUGGACAAUGGGUGCAAGCCUGAUCCAGCAAUGCCGCGUGCGGGAAGAAGGCCUUCGGGUUGUAAACCGCUUUUGGCAGGAACGAAACGGUGUCCGCUAAUACCGGGCGCUAAUGACGGUACCUGCAGAAUAAGCACCGGCUAACUACGUG